AGUUGAAGGAUUUGGAAAAUUCCGCUAAAGAGGGUGAAAGCCCCGUAGACGAAAUGCUGACAACACCUAGGAGGAUCCUGAGUACGGCGGAACACGAGAAAUUCCGUCGGAAUCCGCGGGGACCAUCCCGCAAGGCUAAAUACUCCCUAGUGACCGAUAGUGAACCAGUACCGUGAGGGAAAGGUGAAAAGCACCCCGGAAGGGGAGUGAA
rnacentral:rRNA from 1 species